AUUGAACGCUGGCGGCAGGCCUAACACAUGCAAGUCGAACGAGUGGCGGACGGGUGAGUAAUGUCUGGGAAACUGCCUGAUGGAGGGGGAUAACUACUGGAAACGGUAGCUAAUACCGCAUACCAUCGGAUGUGCCCAGAUGGGAUUAGCUAGUAGGUGGGGUAAAGGCUCACCUAGGCGACGAUCCCUAGCUGGUCCGAGAGGAUGAGCAGCCACACGGGAACUGAUACACGGUCCAGGCUCAUACGGGAGGCAGCAGUGGGGAAUAUGGCACAAUGGGCGAAAGCCUGAUGCAGCCAUGCCGCGUGUGUGAAGAGGGCCUUCGGGGUGUAAAGUACUUUCAGCGGGGAGGCGUUACCCGCAGAAGAAGCACCGGCUAACUCCGUGCCAGCAGCCGCGGUAAUAC
rnacentral:rRNA from 1 species